AUCUGCUCCACUGGAGUUUACCACGUGUGCUCAGGAUAGGAUUGGCUGAGGUGGGAAGAGAAUCAUGGAAGUCAUGCGGCCCAACAACCAGAGCAGAGUGCCCAGGUCCAUGUCCAGGUGGUUUUUGAAGACGUCCAGUGGGGAGACUCCACAAUCUUUCUUGCAUACAUAUGCAGAAAUUACACACAGCUCAGCUGUUCUGGGCUAUAAAUGGGACACAUGCCAAGGAAGGAUGUAGGACCUUCAGUCACCCAAGGGAGAAUUACUGUUUGGGAGAACUCAACACAGCACAGGACUUUCUUUUUAAUUGCAUCAAAGGAAACUAAGGUUGAAGGAGAUCUACAGUAAGUCAUUCAGUUCUUCCAAAUCAAAACCAGGAUACACACACAUUUUUCUCUAGGUGUGUUGUGCAGUAGUGCUUUUUCCAUAUCUACUUUUUCCUCCCUUUGCUUGUUUUAGACUAAUACACUAGUUCUCUCUGUGAUUAUAGCUUGUGCUGCAGAGAGAAGUCUGCCCAGAAGUGACUGGUAAAGUCUACUAUAAUGUGCACAUAUCAACAGUUUCAUGCUACAUUAUAAUAUCCAGCAAAGAUGAAAGAAAACACAGGUUGUAGUGGUUCACACAGAUAAUGUAACAUCUGCUAUGUAAUCUGGGAGAAUGAUUUGUCUGCCUAAUCAUCAAUAUUACUCACGCUUAUGUAGAAAAAUAAACAGCAUGAAAAAUGUA